UACGUAGGGGGGCGAGCGUUGUCCGGAAUUAUUGGGCGUAAAGAGCUCGUAGGCGGUCUGUCGCGUCUGCUGGUGAAAACCUCGGGGCUUAACCCCGGGCCUGCAGUGGGUACGGGCAGACUAGAGUGCGGUAGGGGAGACUGGAAUUCCUGGUGUAGCGGUGAAAUGCGCAGAUAUCAGGAGGAACACCGGUGGCGAAGGCGGGUCUCUGGGCCGUAACUGACGCUGAGGAGCGAAAGCAUGGGGAGCGAACAGG
rnacentral:rRNA from 1 species